rnacentral:rRNA from 1 species
GAUGAACGCUAGCUACAGGCUUAACACAUGCAAGUCGAGGGGAAACGGCAUUUAGUGCUUGCACUGAAUGGACGUCGACCGGCGCACGGGUGAGUAACGCGUAUCCAACCUUCCCAUUACUGUGGGAUAACCUGCCGAAAGGCAGACUAAUACCGCAUAGUCUUCGAUGACGGCAUCAGAUUUGAAGUAAAGAUUUAUCGGUAAUGGAUGGGGAUGCGUCUGAUUAGCUUGUUGGCGGGGUAACGGCCCACCAAGGCAACGAUCAGUAGGGGUUCUGAGAGGAAGGUCCCCCACAUUGGAACUGAGACACAGUCCAAACUCCUACUGGAGGUAGCAGUGAGGAAUUUUUGUCUCUGGACCAGAGUCUGAACCAGCCAAGGAGCGUGCAGGAUGACGGCCCUCUGUUUUUAGAAACUGUUUUUUGCUUGGGACCAAAUUUAACGGCGUGUGAUUGUUUGCAUGAUUCUUCGGACUAUACUAUAUUUCUAUCCGUGCCUUUUUCCCACCGCAUCCGGUAGGG